rnacentral:misc_RNA from 1 species
CAGAGUUCAUGCCCUUUGUGCAUUGCCGCGUGGGUCCCCCUUUUGGCUUGUUCCGAGUGGGACCUGCGUUUUUACAUAGACACCCUUUGAAUGCAUGUGUAGAACGUCUUACUUUUUGCGAUCACACGCAAUCAAUA